UUGAGUAGCAAUUGGGCAGGUUUUGUUGUGAAAACCUGGAAGCCCUGGCUCUAAGGAUUUCCAGUCAGCAACUGCAUAGAAACUUCAGCCCAUUAAAGCUGGACGUUAGAGAAGAUCACAGAUACCUUGCUGAAGUGGUUGGGCACCCUAGAUCAGCCUUCAGCUCCAUCUGAGGACAGCAAGCACUACUUAUAUUGAAUCUUAUUUUGAUCCUUAGCCAUUAAACAGACAUAAAGUUGCCAGCACAAAGGGUCUGUAAAUGCACAAUGGUACGGUCAGGUGAAAUUUCAGAAGAUAUCAAAGAAAAGAUCAUUUCUUACCAUAAGUCUGGUAAGGGUUACAAAUCCAUUUCAAAGAUUAUGGGACUUCACAAAUCCACAAUCGGAUCUAUAAUCUGCAAAUGGAAAACACUUGGAACAGUGAUGAAUCUUCCCAGGAGUGGUCGACCGCCGAAAAUCUCAGCAAAGGCCGAACGUAAAAUCAUCAAGGAAGUCACGAAGAAACCCGAAAUAACGCCCAAAGAACUGCAAGCUUGUCUUGCCCUAGCUAAAGUCAAAGUUUCUGAAGUUACAAUCAGACGAACACUGGGGAAAUUAGGCUAUGUGAGAGAGUAUGAAACUGAAAACCAAUGCAAAAAAGAAGAAGUUUUCUAUAUAAAAUGAAAAGGCCUACAGCAUCAUAAGUCAAACUCUUGUGUUCUACACUAUUGUGUUCUGUACUAUACAGUAUUUUUCUUACAAAGAAAAAAUGUUGUUCAGCAAUAUUGUUAUUCCG